rnacentral:lncRNA from 1 species
UCCAGUUGGAAGGCCUUGGCGAGGACAUCAGGAUUAAUGGGUGGAUCCGAUCCAAACACCGCAUUCGCAAUUGUAAUUACACCAGGGUUCUGGCUGCUUAAGCCGGCGAAAGCAAGCGCUUUGGUUUUUCCCACAUUGAAUUGGAAAUGAAUGAGUCCAAUUGGAAACACAAAAACAUCUCCAGGUUUUAAGGCUUUGGUGAUUAGGCGAUUAUCUCCGUUAGCCAAGUUUGACGUAACAAAGCCAACAUAGAGGGUACCCUCCACAACUACUAUGAUCUCAGUGGCGCGAGGGUGAGUGUGGGGUGGGUUCAGGCCAUAUGGAGCGAAAUCAAUGCGAGCGAAGGAUAUGCCAAGAGUGUUGAGUCCUGGAAUUUUUUCAAUAUUGACAGCAGUGACAUUUGAACCAACACGACCGGAAGUGUCCCCUGGAAUGUUGAGUCCAGAAGAGAAGAAAUCCUUUUCAGUAACAUCCUUUGGGUCCUUGCAGAAUUUGCCAUUCACAAACACUGCAUGAGAAAGACAUUCGAUACCCUUAAAAAGUCAUCAAUCAAUAGAGAAUAUUGAACAUAUAUAUCGGAAAGUAAAGGAAUAAUAAAAGAUAUACAGGAUGCAUGAUAUUUUCAGUGUAAUACUAUCAUGUAACUCUUAACGAAAUACUUCAAGAGCGCAUACCACCAUCGGUUUCAUCCACUGCUACACAGAAGUCCUGAAGAGGACUAGGAUCGAAGGCAGAGGCAAAUGAAGAAGCCAGAGCCAAGAGGACAAAAACUAGUACAAACUUUAGCCCUUCCAUUAGAUUCCACGCUGAUUUUUCUUAAGGAGAUGGGUGAGAUAUCUUGCAUGGAUGCUAGGUUAUUUAUAGAUUGGAGUCAUUGAAUUGGUCGGCGUUAUCUCUAAAUGAAGCCGACGAAGACUUGCUUGAGUGUUUAGUACGUAGUUGCUCGUUCUUUGAUCGCAGUGAUGAAACCGAUUGACAAGAUAGUAGAAAUCACUCUAAAUUCCUCCAUAGAUUCAAAAAACUUGACAAUAUCAAUCAUAUGCCAAUAUUUUCCUGAUAAGACUGUUUCCAGCAUGAUACUUUUCCUUUAAGUUAACAGGAUUGGGUGCAAUGCCUCGAGUCACAAGGCUUUGUUGAAGAUAUCUGGUGAAAAUAUCAGAGUAGGUCGAGAACUAAAGAUUGUUAGGUGACAAAAUGUUUGUGGUCCUGGGGUAGUUAGUUCAAUGGAAGUUUCAGAUGAUUUUAAAUGGAUAUAAGGUUAAUCGUCGUUGAUUAUUCCUAGAUGUAAUUGCGUGACUUUUUUUACCAAUUUGUUUUUUUUUUUUUUUUUUUUUUUUUUUUUUUUUUUUUUUUUUAUAAAUGUUCUUUGCACAUGGCGAAGCCACCAAUCUCUCCAUUGUCCCUUAAAAACAUCUAUUGGAGUUUAUAGUCAAAAUAUAUAUUCAUAUAAUCUGAUUUUAUAGUCAAACCGUUUAUAUAUAUAGACACUUAUAUAAUGAUCUCUAUUUAAUACUUUUUUGGAUAAUGAUAAAUUUUUUUAUUGAAAAUUUGUUGUUAGUCAGAAAAUAACUUAACUGAUAGCAAGAAUUAUUAAAAAAAAAAACAAAAAUCCUUAUUUCUUUAAUUAUUUUGAUUUAAUAUUAUUAGAUCAUAUACAUUAACUUAUCUAUAAAACAUAACCUGUAUAUGUAAAAUAUUUCUCGCUAGCCCGUAACAAAAAGAAAUAGACGAAAUAAAGUUAUAUAUAGAAAAAUAUCUUUUCAUAUUAGGUUGAACCUCAAAAAAAAUCAAGAUUUAUUUUAUAAAUUUAAUACUAUCCAUUAAACAUAUUAUCUCCUUUUCUUUUCUAUAUAUCACUAUGUACACUCAUUAAUUUAGUUUCUCAUCAAAAUGGAUUAACUAAUAAUUGAUUUAAAUUCUUACUUCAUUAUUUAAAUUAAAGAGGUUAAUCUCAAAAAACAAAAAAGCGGAUGUUGAUAACAAUUAAUGUCACUAGAAAUUAUUUGAAAUUUUAUGAUCAUGAAUAUUAAUAAUAAUUGUUUUAGAAAAACUAAUUAUUUUAAAAAACAAUCAUGAUGUUAUUGUUGUUGUUGUUGUUAUUAUGAUUUGAUGAACAUGAAUCAUUUUGGACUAAUCGGAAUUUUAUAAUUUGUUUAUUUAUAUUUGUUUGUGACUGAUUUGUGUCUGCAAAUUAUGUCACAAAUUCCCAGCAAUAAAUUCAUGAUUUUUAAUUUAUAAUCGCUAGAAUUCUAUCACAAAUGCGCUUCGCGACGUCAAUUAUUUUUUUUUAUCAAUUGUUUUUUAACACAAAUCCAUCACAAAGUGCCUUUUUGAGCGAAUUUUGCUUGGCUAUGACCGAAAAUUCUAUCACAAAAAUGGUUGUUUUUGAAGCCAUGGAGACCAAACGAGGGUCAUUGAUUAUUUAAAACUAUAUCAUUAAUUGACCAAUUGAACUACUAAUAAAUAUUAAUAUCUUUGACAUUUUUUAUUAAUUUUUUUUUUGGAUAGUGGAAAUGAUUUUUCCUAGAUAUAAUUGUGUGAUUUUUAUUACAAAAUAUUUUGAAGUCACUAAUUAAAGUAAAUUAAAUUAAAAACAACCUAAUCCUUCUCUUGAAGUUAGUGUAACCAAAGAGAGAGAACAUUAUCCAUUGUAACAUAUCGUUCCAUAAUGUUCUCUCUCUCUCUGUUUUUGUUUUUUUAAACCAAUUAUCUUUUAAUUUGUUUUUUUAUUUUAGUGGCUCAAUUUUUGUCUUAUAAGUUGGUCCUUUAAUAUUGCAUUAAUUUAGGUUUAGGCACCACGAGCUGUUGUGUCUGACAUUACUUUGUGCUUAAUUUUUUUAUCAAAUAAAUAGGGAUGGUGAAAUUCAAACCCGUAACCGCUUGGUUAUCAAGGCUCUGAUACUAUGUCAAAGAACCAUCCAAUAGUUUAAACUGUUGGGUAAGGUCCCAAGAUAUGAUUUAUAUUAUUCUCUAACAGUCCUUCUAUGAAUGAGUAUCUUAAGGUAUAGAGAAAAUAUUUGGUCAAUUGAUUAAUGUUUGGUUUGAUAAAAUAUAAUAUAAUUUUAUUUAUUUAAAAUAAUUAGAGCUUUUACACUAAAUUUGAAGCUUAAAUAAAUGUUUAUCCUCUUCAAAUUUACUACAAUCAGGGACUUGGUUAAAUAAACAGGGGAAAAAUUUAGGUAUUUUUUUUAUGCUCGACUUCUUUUCUCUUUUAAUUAAAUCCUUCCAUAUUAAGUUUUUUUGGGUUCGACCUAAAUGGUUUAUAUUGGUUGCCAAGAUAUGAGGAUGUAGCAGUAUCAAGGAAAAAGUUUAAUGCUUGGUUGAUGCUCAAUAUAAAAAAAUAAAAUAAAAUUUUAUUAAUUUAAAAUAAUUAAGGCUUUAAAGAUUAAAUUUGAAACUAAAAUAAAUAUGAGGGACAAAAAUAAACAGGCAGACAGUGAAACAUUGGAUGGUGAGUGCAGUCCACACACCAAUAAGUGAAGAAAAUUGUUUUGUUUUGGCGGCACCUUCGACUUUUUACGAUGUCGAAACGCCACCAAUAGGGAUGUACUGUCGUUGGUUGUUUUUUCUCAUAUAAUCAAAUGAAGCCACAAAUUUUUCUUUCUAUUUUAAAAUGUUGCUAGCAAUACGUGAAUAUUCUUUUCUUUGUAUAAAAAAAUCAAAUUUGGUUCAGCCCAUGGUAUAGCAUUGGACACAAAUCUAGUAGGCCACUAUGAUUUUUCUUCUUUCAUCUAAAACAUUAACAAUAACUAAUUGAGGAGAGAAAAUCAUUGUUCCCAUCCAUAUAAAGUAUUGUUCAUUGGAAGAAUAUCCUUUUUUAUUUUUAUUUUUUUUAAUUUUAUCCUUUAAUAUUGGAUUUAUUAGGGAUUAUUUUUCAUAAUUUGUUUUGUUUUGCUUUUUAUAAAGUUAUCAUAAUCUUAUGACCCGAGUCACGAGUUUUACAGGUUAACUCUGUUGAAUCGAUUUUUUUAUCCUAUUUGUAAUUGUUUUUUUUUUUAAUUUCAUCCUUCACCUUUUAGGUUGAUUGAUAAUUAAGGUUCAUAAUUUAUUUUUGUUUGCUUCCUUUAAGGUUAUCAUAAUCUCAUGAUUUGAGUCAAGAGUUUGACAUGUUAAAUCAGGUUGACAUGAUUUUUUUCCUUUUUAAUUGAUUUUUUUAUUUCAUCCUUUAAUUUUGGAUUGAUUAGGAAUUGAGCUUUGUAGUUUGUUUUGAUUUGUUUUCUAUUGGGUUAUCCUGAAUUUAUGAUCCAUUCUUGGCAGGUUAACCCUGGUUGACUUGAGUUUUUUUUGUCAUUUUACUGAUUGAUUUUUUUUUUCAAUUUCAAUCAUUAAUUUUGGGUUGAUUGAGAAUUGGGCUCCAAUAUGAUUUUUUUUGCUUUCUAUAAAGUUAUCACAAUCUCAUGACCUGAGUUGUAGAUUUUAUACGUUAAGUUGGGUUGAUGGUCGACUCAUUAUGUUGUCGUCUCAAUAAUUUUAUUAAAAAAGAUGUCUACUUGAGAAUUUCAAUCAUUAAUUUUGGGUUGAUUGAGAAUUGGGCUCCAAUAUGAUUUUUUUUGCUUUCUAUAAAGUUAUUACAAUCUCAUGACCUGAGUUGUAGAUUUUAUACAUUAACUUGGGUUGAUGGUCGACUCAUUAUGUUGUCGUCUCAAUAAUUUUAUUAAAAAAGAUGUCUACUUGAGAAUUUUUUAGACAAAUAUUUUUUUUCUGGUUAUCCGUGUUAUCUUUGGACUUGCAGUUGUGAAGUCUCUAUGGAAAUCACAAAAUUUGUUUUUUAAUAUUUCAAACAUCUAUUAAAGCUUGUUAAAGGUUUAAAAUUAUAUAGUUGAUGGUGCGUAAAAAACAAAAAAACAGAAAAAAAUUAGAAUAACCCCAAUUAGAACAUGAAAAUACGCUCAACUGAUGACUAAACUUUCUAGGAAAGAAGAAACUCCCCAAUAUUUUUUCCUCUCUACCAAGCAAGUUUAUAUCAUACAAACCCAAUGGACAUGAAAAUCGAGAACCUACAAUCAUAUCGACCUCUCCUAAGCAAGCUAUGAUCAGGUCUGGAAUUAAGAUUAACACAACGAUAACCUAUACUCAGACACCAGGACUAUGAGUAACCACCCCCGGCCAACGUCUAUAAACGAGAGGCGAAUGAGAAGUAUAAAAGUUAUCGUAAAAUUUGGUUAAUUCUUUGAUAAGUCAAGAUAAAAGCUAGAAAGAUAGUUGAUCUUUGAUAAGUUCUUGAAAAAGUUCCAUUAAAAACCGAUAGUAAGAGAAAACUCUCAUACAUAAUUUAUUUCUAAUUAAAUAAUUAAUCCAUCUCUUAUUUUUUUUAAAAAAACCUAAUUACAAGCUAAAUAACCCUAUUUAUAAUAGGUAAAACGUCUUAAACAAUGCUGAAAAAUAUUAGUUUAUUGGUCUUGAAUAUGUGGUUGCUUCAUAUGUUUUUGAAAUAAAAAAUAAAUUGAUGAGUUUGUUAUUUCAGCAAUGCUUUAGAAAAAGUUUCAACAAAAUCUUCUAUUUUUCAGGAAUUAAUAUCACAACUUUUUGUCAAAAGUCUUAUAGCUUGAUGAAUUCUUUUAUUUUAUGGAUUAACAUGAAAAAUUUUCAUCAACAAUAAAAAAUCGAUGAAAUAUGUAUUUUUAGAGAUUAAUGUAAAAAAAAAUGUUAAAAGAAAAAAAUCGAUGAAAUUUUUUUUUGGUAUUAACAUUAAAAUAGAUGAAAUCUCUCUUUUUUUUUUUAUAUAUAGAUUCAUAAGAUCAUUGUAUAAACAAAUAUGUAUAUGUCAUCUUACUAUUCGAGUCUUAUUAAGCGGUCAACCCUAUGGAUAUGAUCUAAUUUAUAAAGGGUUUGGCUCGGUUUCUCUGUCCCAAAAGAUUUUUUUAAGGUUUCUUGAUUUUACGAAUUACUAGGAGGUAGUUCUGCCUCUUAACCUUAUGCAACAUGGCAUAGGAGUAACUCUAUGAUACCUUUAGUAUAGGGAGUGAGUUUCAAUUUAAGUAAAAGUUCAAGUGAGUAUCAAUGGAUAUCCAGCAACCUCUUUAUUUAUGAAAACAAAUACGACAGAGGAAAUAACGAUGAGAACAUGUCAAAUAUAAUCGGAAAUCGCAGGGCUACUGCUCCGUGUCUUGUUCUUGUCCGACUAGAAUGCUUUCUGAAGAUAGUCGACAACCUUCUUGUCCAGUUGGAAGGCCUUGGCGAGGACAUCAGGAUUAAUGGGUGGAUCCGAUCCAAACACCGCAUUCGCAAUUGUAAUUACACCAGGGUUCUGGCUGCUUAAGCCGGCGAAAGCAAGCGCUUUGGUUUUUCCCACAUUGAAUUGGAAAUGAAUGAGUCCAGUUGGAAACACAAAAACAUCUCCAGGUUUUAAGGCUUUGGUGAUUAGGCGAUUAUCUCCGUUAGCCAAGUUUGACGUAACAAAGCCAACAUAGAGGGUACCCUCCACAACUACUAUGAUCUCAGUGGCGCGAGGGUGAGUGUGGGGUGGGUUCAGGCCAUAUGGAGCGAAAUCA